UUGCUGUAUAGUAAGGCAGGAGAAGCAGCACAUAUAAUAAAAUUGGAAUAAUACAGGAAAUGUUAGAAUGGCUCCUGCACAAAAAUGACAGACAAAAUUUGUGAAAUAUAUUGUGUGUUU
ensembl:snRNA U6 U6 spliceosomal RNA